GACGAACACUGGCGGCGCGCUUAACACAUGCAAGUCGAACGGAAAGGCCUGCUUUCCCUUGUGGAUUGCGGGUACUCGAGUGGCGAACGGGUGAGUAACACGUGAGUGAUCUGCCCCCAACUUGGGUAUAAGCCUGGGAAACUGGGUCUAAUUCCCGAUAGGACUGCAGGGUGGUGCCUGUGGUGGAAAACGAUUUUCUAGUGGUUGGGGAUGAGCUCGCGGCCUAUCAGCUUGUUGGUGGGGUAAUGGCCUACCAAGGCGGCGACGGGUAGCCGGCCUGGGAGGGUGGACGGCCACAUUGGGACUGAGAUACGGCCCAGACUCCUACGGGAGGCAGCAGUGGGGAAUAUUGCACAAUGGGCGGAAGCCUGAUGCAGCGACGCCGCGUGGGGGAUGACGGCCUUCGGGUUGUAAACUCCUUUCGACCGCGAGGAAGCCACCUGGUUGGAAGGGUGGUGACGGUAGUGGUAGAAGAAGCACCGGCUAACUACGUG
rnacentral:rRNA from 1 species